CUGGUAGCUAAAUGCAAGUUCUAAACCACUGGCGGGAAAACAACUGAGAUUGAAAAAAACAGCGUUGGCCUGAGAUGAAAUACCUACAGUAACCCUUGUUUCUUUGUGCGUCCACAAGUUUGGUAGCAUACUAUUUUUUGUUUCUUCGUUUAUCCUCAAGUUCGGAUGUUUUGUGCUUCUUCGCAUAUCAACAGUUGAACAGGUCAUGAUGUUUUCUGUAAUUUUUGUUCCUGGAGGAGGAUGACUGUGUGGCAGUAGUUCCACGCCUGUGGCUCUGAGGGGGACUUUGCUAUCGGCCCCCACACAGCAUCACCAGCAGGAAGUCCCUCAGCCACGACAAGUUUGCCAGAACUUGUUCACCACCUGAAGACACCUGGGAGGCUGUCCCUUAUAAGCUCAUCAAGCAUGCAGACACAUGAGAGACCGGACGUGUGUCGCCAGAGGAGUGAAAAUCGUUCCAGCGUGGGCUCCUACCACCCCAAGCACGCACAUCUAAACCACAACACCCUGUGGAUUGCAGCCCUGGAG
ensembl:lncRNA